CAGUACCAUAUUAACAAUGUGCAGGGAUACUGGAGUGAUGGAGGUAGAUAUGUAUAGGGGUAAGGUGACUAUAUACAGGGUCAGUACCAUAUUAACAAUGUGCAGGGAUACUGGAGUGAUGGAGGUCAGUACCAUAUUAACAAUGUGCAGGGAUACUGGAGUGAUGGAGGUAGAUAUGUAUAGGGGUAAGGUGACUAUAUACAGGGUCAGUACCAUAUUAACAAUGUGCAGGGAUACUGGAGUGAUGGAGGUAGAUAUGUAUAGGGGGAAGGUGACUAUAUACAGGGUCAGUACCAUAUUAACAAUGUGCAGGGAUACUGGAGUGAUGGAGGUAGAUAUGUAUAGGGGGAAGGUGACUAUAUACAGGGUCAGUACCAUAUUAACAAUGUGCAGGGAUACUGGAGUGAUGGAGGUAGAUAUGUAU
rnacentral:lncRNA from 1 species